rnacentral:rRNA from 1 species
CCCCAUGCGAGAGUAGGGAAC